AUUGAACGCUGGCGGCAGGCCUAACACAUGCAAGUCGAGCGGAUGAAGGGAGCUUGCUCCUGGAUUCAGCGGCGGACGGGUGAGUAAUGCCUAGGAAUCUGCCUGGUAGUGGGGGAUAACGUCCGGAAACGGGCGCUAAUACCGCAUACGUCCUGAGGGAGAAAGUGGGGGAUCUUCGGACCUCACGCUAUCAGAUGAGCCUAGGUCGGAUUAGCUAGUUGGUGGGGUAAAGGCCUACCAAGGCGACGAUCCGUAACUGGUCUGAGAGGAUGAUCAGUCACACUGGAACUGAGACACGGUCCAGACUCCUACGGGGGCAGCAGUGGGGAAUAUUGGACAAUGGGCGAAAGCCUGAUCCAGCCAUGCCGCGUGUGUGAAGAAGGUCUUCGGAUUGUAAAGCACUUUAAGUUGGGAGGAAGGGCAGUAAGUUUAUACCUUGCUGUUUUGACGUUACCAACAGAAUAAGCACCGGCUAACUUCGUG
rnacentral:rRNA from 1 species